CCAAACUUGGUCAUUUAGAGGAAGUAAAAGUCGUAACAAGGUUUCCGUAGGUGAACCUGCGGAAGGAUCAUUAAAAAAAGAUCAUAAUCCAGAUUCAUUUUGUGUGCAUUUAUUGAUCAGUUUACUUUGACAGAUUUUGUUUUUUUGGUUGCUUAAUAUUUUAUAAAAAUAAAAAGCAACAAAAACAUAGAGAUUAAAAUUGAAAAUUUCAGUUUAAAUCUCAGAUCUGUCAAAGUUUUCUUUUAAUUUAAAAAUACUAUUAAUUUUAAAUUAAACAUUAAUAAUUUAAUUUAAUACAACUUUCAACAACGGAUCUCUUGGCUCUCGCAUCGAUGAAGAACGCAGC
rnacentral:misc_RNA from 1 species